UGGGCGAGGCACAGGUGUAGCUGGUCAGAAAAUGAAGCGUUCAGUUUAAGAGAGCCAGCUGGUAAAACAAGUUACCACAACGAAAACGAGCUACCUAACCAUGAAUUCGAAGCAACUUUUGGCAGCAGCUUUCUGUCUAGCUGCUGCUCUUAUUCUGGGAACAAAGGCACAGGAAAAUGCAAUGUUGCAAAUUCCCCCUUCAUUGGUGGAGUGUUAUAAUACGUCAUACUUUAUGAAUCGGGAUAAUCGUCUACCAGCCAAUAUGGACACGCUCAUUUCUCUUAUAGAAAAAGUAGAAAACAGCUACGCAGCUAGUUCAGGUGUACAAGCCGAUAUUCGAACCGUGUCGGUGUCCUUGCUGCAUCGUUUCCGUCAAGAUGGCAUUAAGAAGGCUGCUGGAAUAAAUGCAGCUGAUGGGGUAAUACCGUACAGUCCAACAGGCUUUCAGUUUCCGAAGUUGAAAAUUUUGCUCUCACGUCUAAUACCGGGAAACGCCAAUACCUUCCCCAACAGUUCAUUGACAAGAGUGGAGCGGUGCUCCCUCCAUUUUAUGCUAUCAAGCACAUUUGAUACAAGAACGCGCGGCGAUGAAAACAAUGUGUGCAAUCAACUAUCUCAGUAUCGAGCCCAGCGACUGCCAAGAUCCUUGAAAAAGGGGCAAGAAAAUAAUUUUAUAGGCUAUUCUGAAUGGCUGGAGGCUCGCUCGAAACGAGGACGAUCUUCCGACACAGUAUCAAGAUACGAACAAUUUGCAGAAUUAGACUACGAAUCCGACUGGGCUUAUGCCGGCCCUGAAACUAGCCAAUGCCCCGUCGAGGAUGGCUUAGUACGAACACGCUGGGGAACGAUUUCUGGAGGCACUCUGAUCGCCGGCAUUGCAGCUGGUGUCCAGCAGCAGACAGUACAAGUCAAUACCCUAUUGACCCGGUCUGCCCAGCGUCGCGCACGCAGACAGUCCCAGACAGGCAAUACCAUUGACAACAGGUGGGCGGCAACUUUGGCUGGGGAGUUGGCGGAAGUCACGUUGGUCCAACUACCAGUGACGAAUGGCAAUGCCGCUUCCGUUGGAGCUACCGGUGGAUGGAAUGACACAGUCCUACCCCAUUGGUACUUCUUAUCGCAGCGCAACAACCUUGAGGCCACCGAUGCCGAGAUCCGUGGUGGCCUUGACGGUCUGAUUCUGGCUAAGAAUGUGGCAAGUUGGAGGACUCAAGCAUCAAGCCUUAAACUUUCCCAACUGCUGCGCAUGUACUACUCAACAAAUGGUGUUCUUAGUUCCGGGAUCAAUGCCUGCAGUAGGCAAAAUCAAUUCACAAAUGUGGCUCCCUCGCAGGAAAUGGAGGACCAGACCAAUGCAUUUGCCUUAGUACUGGAUCGUGGGAUGCAGCUACGUGUCACCCUCCAGCCUUCUCUUAUUUCCCAAUUUGCUGGUAACGCCACCGCAUCUCUGGUGACGUAUGUGCCACAAUCGUUAAACGACGUCUCUUGUAUGGCCACCAGUAAUCUUGAUUUGACAGAUGCCAUAACUCCAAUGAUUAACCUGUACCUUUUCUUGGAUACUUCUUGGCAAUACAGCACCAUUGUUGACUAUGUAGCUUAUGUUAUCCAGCAGCUUAAUAUUCACCCCUAUGCCAGCACAAUCACAAUGCUUUCAGCACAAGAUGGAUCGAUUAUCGUAAACACCACAAACUAUAUUAUGGAUGUCUAUCAGCAAUGGAAUGCAACUACACAGGCUACUUAUACUCAGGGAUUCAACCUUCCUAAUGUUUUGCGUACAAUUCAGAACCUAACCCAGAACUUAAUGAAUGAAGAAAAGACUAAUUCGAGCCUAAGUGGUCACUCACUAGUAGCUCUAAUCAUUCCGAAUCAGUAAACGGUGAAUGAUGGGGACUCCAGCUACGCCACUACAGAAAUUCAGUAUAUUAAGGAACAAAUUCCAGACCUGCGUUUUAUAUACUAUGGUGGUGGAAGUAUUCAGCGGUUUUCAAGCUUUGUCCGAGAUCCAACUCAAGACCUUUUCUCUCUCACGUUGGGCAGUACACCGGCGACAUCAGCGGGACCCGUGGCAAAACGCAUUGUCCAAAUUCCCCGUCGCAUUAUUAAUCCACGUUGUGGAUCAAGUUGGUACACAAAUAGCUGGGGUACUGAUCAAACAGACCAAUAUGUGGGGCCUGGAAAGGUGAACUUUUACCGAGUUUCUGCAAACUAUUUCUUUGGAACUGGUGCCAACCGGUAUUUGACCAUUCAAUCUCAGAAUGGAGGAACUUAUACUAUAUGUACUUCACGUACAUAUGCAUGGCCGCAACAGAACUCAACGACUCUUUCUACAGCAAACUCGAUAGAUCAGAGUUGCACACAAAUAAGUGGAAAUAGUUAUAGCUACGAUCUUUCAAGUGCCUGUGAGGGAUACUACACUAUCACCCAGUGUCCAGACUUGUAUUUGUCAGUCCAAGCUACAUCAAACACCACGUCCUGUAUACAGGAUGCUUGCCAGACCCCUGACCAAUGGCGGUUUAUAAUGUCAAUGGUCAACAUGGGAUGCUACAGCGGUGUUUCGGGUCUAGCAGCCAGCCUGCUAAUAACUCUAUUCGCAUUGUUAGCUAUAAAGCUGAUUCAAUAAUUGGUAACUAGAGUAUGGUAGUAUUAGUGGUACUGCCGCAGGUUUUAAAGCAUAAGUCAAGUCUUCUUACACAAACAACUAUUUUUUCGUUUUGCAUUAAUCUUUUAUUUUUUCGUAAUUAAUGUCCUAAAUAAAUGUCCUAAAUAUAAA